UGGUGAUUUUAUUUCCGGGGUAUCAUGAACAGCACAACCUUCUAGAUGAGAAGUUGGUACCUGCAAAAGAAAAGGGGAUUGAUCUAUUAGGAUUGUUAAAGGUGCAUAUUUAUAAAAAUUAAUAUUUCAAUCAACAGUUGUAGGAUUUUCGGAGGCUUCAACCUCCUCAACUACAUCGGAAGCAAAAUAGACCGAAUUGCCGUAAGUCAAGUUUUUAGCAUUCAAGGAAAGAUGGUUGAUACUAAGCGUCUGAUCUCGCGAUCGAACAUGAACACUUGAAUUGUCUCAGUUGGGGUAUGAUACGAUCUUGCCACAUUCACACUUGUAUGUAUCGUCAACAAAAGAGAGUUCUUCUGGACAUGAGUCACAACUAUAAAACCACCAUCUAGACUGUGCAUCGAUGCUACAAACUAAUACAUGGCAUAUCACUUCC